AUGAAACUUUGUGAGAAAAGGAGAAAGAUUGGAAUGAAACUGAAAGGAAAAAUUAUUCCAACCAUCAUUCAACAAAUUCAUAAUAGGACAAGGGGACUUAAACAUUUGAAAGUUGGGAAAUGUGGAGUUGCAAGUUGUGAGGUGAGGGACACAAGUAAAUACAACUUGCGACAUGUUCUCAAGAGUGACCAAAGCGAGUGCACAUGCUUGGAGUGGCAACACAUAAGGAAGCCUUGUGAACAUGCACUAGCUUUCUUGCUAGAUAGAAGGAACCCAAGAUGGGAGGACUAUGGGCAUGACUAUUUCUCUCUAGAGAAGUUCUGGGCGGCAUAUGCUGGAGAGGUUGAGCCAUUGACAGAUAGGUCGCAAUGGCCACAUGUAGAAUUUCCGUUUGACAUGGAGGCUCCAAUAGAUAAGAAAAGAGGUGUUGGAAGGCCUAGAAAGAAUAGGUAUAAGAGCUUCCUCGAAGGUGGAGAUGGUGGUCCUAAAAAUAAGAAAGAGCCAAAAUAA
rnacentral:rRNA from 1 species